rnacentral:lncRNA from 1 species
CAAAACAAAUAAAAAAAAAAAGAAAAAAGAACUCCUUUUUAUCUAUAUGUGUGUGGGGUGUGGGGAAGAGGAUGUGACGCUUUGAAAGAGGCCAAGGAACUCCAUUUUCAACUACUUCCUGGUUGGAGAGUUUAGCCUGGAAAUUUCUCACCUUUCAUGAAGAUAUUCUGGAAUAAAUAGAAGUGAUCUCCCAUGCUGGCAGGACUCCUGAUAAGUAGCUAAUAUGUUUGUUUUUCACUCUAUCACAUCAAACCAAUGAUAACCAAUAGGCGAUAUUUGGGCACUGACUUCAUUCAAGGCACUAGGUCAGCCUUCCACAUGCACCAUCUCAUUAAUAGUCACCAGGCCCAGAAGGUAGGUACUUUUAUAUCCCCCAUUUUUCAGAUGAGGAAGCUGAGGCCCAGAGAGAGGAAGCAAGUUGCCCAACUUGCUGCUAAAUUCCCAGGCAGAAACUUAAACCAGGAUUCAAAGUCCAUUUCCGUUCGUGACUGUGUAAACACCGUAGAUCAUUAUAUGAACUGGCAUUUCCAUAUCACCGUUAUCAUUUUAAACCUUAGCUGCUGAAUUUGCUUUCAAUUGUAGGUAUUUAAAAAUUGUAACACGGGCCACCUCAUCAGACUCAGGUUCCUAUGCAUGUGAAAGUGGAAAGAAGGACAUGGAGAUUUUCAAAGGCACCUGGCAAGGACUGGGGGGGCUUGGAAAAUGAUCAGAAAUAAAGGAAUCUGGAGUUUCACCCCAGAAGGGACUCAUGGGAGAGGAAUUCGUGUGGGUGCUUGGAGCCAUCAUCCAGGAAAGAGAACAACACAAGUGAGCGGGCCUGGAAAAUCACAGCCAGACUUAAAGCAAAAAAGAAUUGUUAUACAAUUUUAGGGAAGUCAGCAUUUAAUUUGCAAGGUACGAGACCCCUGUAUGAGACUGUGCACAGCCGUAGCCCUGGAUUGAGAGGUGUGACAGCUGGAAGGCCACCGCCCCAUCCCAGCCUUGGUGUCCUGCCCGGCUGGCCUCAGACAAAUGCCAACAUUGUCAGGCCUUGGGAUAAACCCUGAUUUUUUUCUUCCUCUAAUAUGAAAAUCUAAUUUGGCAAAAAGAACAUUGGAAAGGGUUCAGUAGCCUCGACCCUGAUGUGCUCUGCUUUCCCAUCCAUCCUGAGAGUUAUUUGUGAAGAUCAAAUAAGGUAGGAGAGCGGAAGGGUUGUGUGUUUCAUAGGAAAUGUGUGGAGUUAGUAGCGACAGUAAGAGGAGCGGCUUUGCUUAUUGAUGACUUGCUCAGUGCAAGCUCUGUGCCAAAAGCCCGAAAUUAUGGUCUAAUUUAAUCCUGUCAGCAAACUAUAAUGUAGGUACCACUAUUAUCUUCAUUUUAUAGGUGAAGAAAUAGCCGUUUUCUGAGAUCAGACGGUUGGUAGGCUGGAGUGUGGGGACUUCAGGAUGGUCUGACUCCACAACGAGCUGUUAGCUUAGAAAUAUAUGUCAAAAAUAUACAUAUGCUUAUUUAAAUAUAUACAGGAUGUCAUUUUAAAGAACAGAAUGAGGGAAUGCAUUUUCUGAGGUUGCAUAACUUUAUUUUUUUCAAUGCCUAUUGUGGUGGAACUUUCUACAUGUUCUACAAGCUUCUUGAUAUUUAUGUCACUGUACUUAGACUAACAGCAACAACAAUAGAUAAAAAUAGUGAGAUAAUAAUAUUUGUGGCACAUGUUUUGUACUAGGCAUGGUUCUAAGGCAAGCGGUUUCCAUUUAUAAGUUGUACUAACUUUAAAAGACACUUGCUAUUUUCAUCAUCCCCAUUUUACAGAUGAAGAAACUGAGGCCUAGAGAAGUAGAGUAACUUGCCCAAGGCCACAGGCCUUGCAAAUAAAGGAGCUGAUGGAAGAGGUCUGCCUGAAAGUUCUGGAAGGAGUCUUGAAGAUCAAUGCAGGUCAACCCUGAUAUCUCCCACAGGAGGAACGUGAGGCCCAGAGAUCCUUCUUGAGUUACCCAACGUCCUGCAGCCCGCAAUAGAGAAGCAGACUAGAGGCAACAUUACCGGAAUCUCUCUCUCCCAUCCCCCAUCCCAGACCCAGAUCCUUCUACUGCAGACACCUGCUGUUCUUUUAUUGAUGGCAUGGCUAGUGCUCAGUCAUCUGGUCACCACAACUCUACUGAGCCCCUCCCCUGGGUGCUGGACUGGCUCUAACACUGUGCGAACAGACAGAGGAAGGCUCAUGCUUGUGGAGCCAACGUUCUAAGUUGGGGAAGAGUCAAUGUAUGAAUUUUAAAAACAGUAAAACAAGAUCAUUUCAGAGAACGGAAGACAACAGCAAGCACGGGCCACCUGUGACCACGUGGACCCUAGGACCCAAGAGCAUGGCCCUGGAGCUGCCUGGCCCUACUGGCCUAGACUGGGCCUCGGCCACGCGCUCCUCACCUUCACAGUGGCAUUGCAGUACCGGGCACAGCCGCUCUUCAGGCUCCCAAACCUGCCACUGUAGACACAUCUGUGUGUGAAGAGUGCCUGGAGAAAGCCAAGGAGGGAAAGCAUGGCAGUCAGCAUGUUUAGGUCCUCCAGGCACUGCACACCCUCUGCAGACACUUGCCAUUGUACUUCCAUUUCACCACUGACGUCAGGAGAGAGUGCUGGACCACACUAGCAGACCUGGGUCUACAUCAGAGCUUGGACACCCUUUUUUAGGCCUGUUCCCUUGUUGGUGGAAUACAGGCCAGAGUUUGCAUCAUCCAUGGCCCACAGAUCUUUAUUCCCUCUUCCAUGCCACAGCAGAUGUCUCUAAGCAGAAAAUAUUUUCUGUUCAUUCUGGAUACGGUCUAGUCUCCCCUUCCGAUCUAUAGCCAUCCCUAAGAUCUCCUACAGAGACAUUUUGGAGCCCCCAAAGGGUCUAUCUACACUUCAUUGAAAGGUUUGCCAAACAAAAUUGUGAUAGUCUGAGUUUUUCUCUUAGGAGUGGGGCAGAUUUAUAUGCAUCCUUCCAUUCUAACCAACAAUGCCCACUCAUAAUUAUCUAGAACUCAUGUUUACUGAGAACAUUUUAUGGGCCAGACACAUUGCACAGAUGAGUUCAUCAAUCUUCAAUUCUAUGUGGAUGUUUCUCAUGCCAUUUUUUAUAGAUAAGGAAACAGGCCCAGACAGGUUAAAUCAUUUUUUCCAAGAAACACUGAUAGUAAGUAUAAGGUCUAGAGAAUGGGUCUUAUCACGUACAGACUUUAGGAUCACAGUCAUGUAGCCUCUGUGGGCCUCAGCUGCCUAAUUUAUAAAAUAUCAAGAAAAUAUUGAUGAGACAAUAAUGCUGAUUUCAAGUUUUGUCACGAGAAUUUAGUCUCUGGUUCAAAUUUUGUUUUAGAUAAUUGUUGAUGUCAAGCUUAUCCCUUCAUCUUAGGCUGUUGCUCAAGAAGAGGGCAAUGAGACUUUCCUAGGCUAUAAAAUCCUAAAAUAUUAGCUAUAUGAAGGAAUUCUGAGGUCACUGAGGAAGGAGCACUACAGUCCUUUUGGGAAUCUCAGGAUAAUUAACCAGGUGUGGGUCACAGGAUUCCCGGGAUGGGUGAUUUGAGGGCUUCUUUUGGCUCCUACCCAUGUGUCUAAUUUCCCUUUCUUUUCCCUCUUCCUUCUCUUUCCCUGGGCUGAGACAAUCAUAGAAUGGUGAUUAAACAUGUAGAACAAAUCAUGGUUCUGCCACAUCAGCUGUGUGACCUUGUACAAGGUGGUUUACGUUUCCUUGCCUUAGUGCCCUAAUCAUACAUUGGUUAUGGUGAUAAUAUACCCACCUCGUGGGGCUGCUGCAUAAAGCAUUUAGAACAAUGUCUGGCACACAGCAAUCACUGUGACACCAGCCAACACAAUUUCCUCUUCUCCUCCCUCUCACAUUCCCUGCUUGACAGCAUCCUGAAGGACUCAGGGGUAAUGCCUUUGUUAAGCAAAAUAAAUAUCUGAACACCUGCA